rnacentral:tRNA from 1 species
ACCACUGUAGCUCAGUUGGUAGAGCAUGGUGUUUGCAACGCCAGGGUUGUGGGUUCGAUUCCCACAGGGGGCC